rnacentral:tRNA from 1 species
GCGCGAGUAGUGGAGCCUGGCCACCACGCGGCAUAGCGGGCCGAGCCGAGAGUUCGAAUCUCUCCUCGCGCA